GACAGAGGUGCCAAGCGUUAGGCGGAAUCACUGGGCUUAAAGCGUGUGUAGGUGGAUGCCUAAGUACCUUGUGAAAUCCCACGGCUCACCCGUGGAACUGCUUGGUAUACUGGGUGUCUUGAGCCACUUAGGGGUCGCUGGAACAAACGGUGGAGCGGUGAAAUGCGUAGAUAUCGUUUGGAACGCCAAUGGUGAAAACAGGCGACUGGGAGUGUGCUGACACUGAGACACGAAAGCCAGGGGAGCAAACGGG
rnacentral:rRNA from 1 species